GAUGAACGCUGGCGGCGUGCCUAAUACAUGCAAGUCGAGCGAAUGGAUUAAGAGCUUGCUCUUAUGAAGUUAGCGGCGGACGGGUGAGUAACACGUGGGUAACCUGCCCAUAAGACUGGUAUAACUCCGGGAAACCGGGGCUAAUACCGGAUAACAUUUUGAACCGCAUGGUUCGAAAUUGAAAGGCGGCUUCGGCUGUCACUUAUGGAUGGACCCGCGUCGCAUUAGCUAGUUGGUGAGGUAACGGCUCACCAAGGCAACGAUGCGUAGCCGACCUGAGAGGGUGAUCGGCCACACUGGGACUGGGACACGGCCCAGACUCCUACGGGAGGUAGCAGUAGGGAAUCUUCCGCAAUGGACGAAAGUCUGACGGAGCAACGCCGCGUGAGUGAUGAAGGCUUUCGGGUCGUAAAACUCUGUUGUUAGGGAAGAACAAGUGCUAGUUGAAUAAGCUGGCACCUUGACGGUACCUAACCAGAAAGCCACGGCUAACUACGUGCCAGCCGCCGCGGUAA
rnacentral:rRNA from 1 species